UCAUUCUCAUUUGUCUCAGCACUCUGAGGGCGAGAACUGGAAUCAGCAACAUCAGGCUUCCUCCAGCUCCUCUCAACACGCUCAGUGCCAGAACCCCCACGCCCAUUCCCAAAGCUCCACCGCCCAAAUGAUGUCGAAUUGCUUCUUUCACCUUUUUCAAUUUCUUUAUUACCAUUGAUCUUCAGAGACUGCAGCUUCUCAUCAAUCUGUUUCCAGUCCUUUCCCUUCUCAGCUAACACCUCCUCUCUCGGCCUCGCCUCUCCAAAUGGGCUCGACCCUUUGGGUUUCGCUGCUGUGCCAUUCUCGUUACUUACAGGUACUGUGCGUGGCUGUAAUACAAGCUUUGGCCUUACACUUCCUGUUCCAUUAACGUCCUCUUUCUUCCUUCCCCAGUUAUCGGAAUCUGC
rnacentral:misc_RNA from 1 species